UAACUUGAGAGUUUGAUCCUGGCUCAGAACGAACGCUGGCGGCACGCUUAACACAUGCAAGUCGAACGGAAUUAUAGAGCUUGCUUUAUAAUUUAGUGGCGCACGGGUGAGUAACACGUGGAUACCUGCCUAUGGGUGGUGAACAACUCCGGGAAACUGGAGCUAAUACAGCAUACGCUCGAGAGAGGAAAGGCCGAAAGGUCGCCCAUAGAGGGGUCUGCGUCUGAUUAGGUAGUUGGUGGGGUAACGGCUCACCAAGCCGAUGAUCAGUAGCUGGUCUGAGAGGAUGGUCAGCCACACUGGAACUGAGAUACGGUCCAGACUCCUACGGGAGGCAGCAGUGGGGAAUAUUGGACAAUGGGGGAAACCCUGAUCCAGCGAUGCCGCGUGAGUGAUGAAGGCCUUAGGGUUGUAAAGCUCUUUUGACAGGGACGAUGAUGACGGUACCUGUAGAAUAAGCACCGGCUAACUCUGUGCCAGCAGCCGCGGUAAUACAGAGGGUGCUAGCGUUGUUCGGAAUUACUGGGCGUAAAGGGCGUGUAGGCGGUCGCGUAAGUCAGAUGUUAAAGACCUGGGCUUAACCUAGGGGGUGCGUUUGAUACUGCGUGACUAGAGGGCAGGAGAGGAGAAUGGAAUUUCCGGUGUAGAGGUGAAAUUCGUAGAUAUCGGAAGGAACACCAGUGGCGAAGGCGAUUCUCUGGACUGCUUCUGACGCUGAGGCGCGAAAGCGUGGGGAGCAAACAGGAUUAGAUACCCUGGUAGUCCACGCCUUAAACGAUGGAAGCUAGGUGCUGGGAUUUAGGUUCCAGUGCCGCCGCUAACGCAUUAAGCUUCCCGCCUGGGGAGUACGGUCGCAAGAUUAAAACUCAAAGGAAUUGACGGGGACCCGCACAAGCGGUGGAGCAUGUGGUUUAAUUCGA
rnacentral:rRNA from 1 species